CUUUGCUUCAUAUUCUGUCGCCACUCCUAUCUUCUUCCUCUCCUUUCCAACACAAACUGCCCUUCACUCCCUUUUCCCUUUCAAGCUCAUUAUAAUUCUUAUCUACCAAGUGUCGUUUCUGUCGAUUUCCAUACGCACUCUAAUUAUUUGUCUCUUGCGUUACUGUAGCUACUUAGGAUUCCGGUUUUAGAAUUGUGUGUACUCUCUUCAGAACCCAAGGACAAUGCUGAAAACGUGUAUUCGUGUCUCUGAAACCUCAGAUUUGUUUCAUUCUUUCAGCUGAUAUGGACUUAAAGGGAAUGGAAGUCACUGGUGGCUAAGGCUUGCGAGUUC